rnacentral:rRNA from 1 species
AAGUCGUAACAAGGUAACCGUAGGUGAACCUGCGGUUGGAUCAUUAACAAAUGAUUUGGUUUCAAACCAAAACACUGUGUGCAAUUACAUCUGUCUCUGGUGGCUUUGUGUAUUUUCUCUCGCCCGGUGCUCCCGAAUGUCAAAUUUGUGCAGAUGUUCAUUAAAGCACGGGUCGAAAAUGGCGGGAGAAGUGGCAACCACCGAAUGCCCAAACAACUUUUUGUAUUUUUUAUGUCUGAAUCAUUCACAUUUUGUGCAAUGAAAAACAAUUUUUAACAACGGAUCUCUUGGUUCUCGCAACGAUGAAGAACGCAGCGAAUUGCGAUAAGUAAUGUGAAUUGCAGAAUUCAGUGAAUCAUCAAAUCUUUGAACGCACAUUGCGCUUUCCGGUAUUCCGGUAAGCAUGCCUGUUUGAGAAUCGAUAAUCACUCACCAUGCCUUUUUUGGAAUUGGACGACAUUCAAGAUGCAGUUUUGAAGAGGUUUCUGUUUGCAAAAACGGAUUCCUUUGGAGAUAAGCUGCACCUUGUCGCCCAAGUCCUUUGCAUAGUGGAUUUGGGACCUUUGCUUUCGUGGCAAUGUCCUUAAAAACAAUGUUUUGACCAUGUUUGCUGAUGCAACGCAGGUUUAGAGUGCAUGAAUAGGUUAAUUCCUUUAUGAUUUCACUCUUCUUGGGUUAUUUUAUUCAGUAUCUUGUGGGCAACUCAAGCCAUCAACUCAGGUUGAGUUUCAUUUGGAACUCAUUCUGAAACUUGGUCUCAAAUCAGGUAGGAAACCCGCUGAACUUAAGCAUAUCAAUAAGCGGAGGAAAAGAAACUANCAAGGAUUCCCCUAGUAACGGCGAGUGAAGCGGGAAUAGCUCAAAUUUAAAAUCUUGCAGGGUUACCUGUACGAAUUGUAGUUUAGAGAAACGUUUUCGGGUCUGACAUGGGCAUAAGUCCUUUGGAACGAGGCAUCAUAGAGGGUGAGAAUCCCGUUUUUGGCCCAAUGUUCAGUCCUAUGUGAUACGUUUUCCAAGAGUCGGUUUGUUUGGGAAUGCAGACCAAAAUGGGUGGUAAAUACCAUCUAAAGCUAAAUAUUGGCGAGGGACCGAUAGCGAACAAGUACCGUGAGGGAAAGAUGAAAAGAACUUUGAAAAGAGAGUUAAACAGUACGUGAAAUUGUUAAAAAGGAAACGCUUGAAACCAGUAUUGCUUGCAAACAAUCAGCCUCAUCUUGUAUGAGGUGCACUUGUUUGUCGGCAGGUCAACAUCAGUUUGACUUGGGGUAAAAAGCCAGAAGAAGGUGACCCAGCGUUUACUCUGGGUGUUAUAGCUUCUGGUCCUGCCUUGGGUUGGACUGUGGUUUGCAGCAUUUUUUGGGUACCCAGUCGCCUCUUGAACCCUUGGCGCAGACAGCUUGCUGACUGCAUCGAGACUUAUGGAGCCCGGUUGGUUUUCCACACCAAUGCUUAGGAUGUUGACGAAAUGGUUUUAAACGACC